GCUGGCGGCGUGCCUAAUACAUGCAAGUCGAGCGAACAGACAAGGAGCUUGCUCCUUUGACGUUAGCGGCGGACGGGUGAGUAACACGUGGGUAACCUACCUAUAAGACUGGGAUAACUUCGGGAAACCGGAGCUAAUACCGGAUAAUAUUUCGAACCGCAUGGUUCGAUAGUGAAAGAUGGUUUUGCUAUCACUUAUAGAUGGACCCGCGCCGUAUUAGCUAGUUGGUAAGGUAACGGCUUACCAAGGCGACGAUACGUAGCCGACCUGAGAGGGUGAUCGGCCACACUGGAACUGAGACACGGUCCAGACUCCUACGGGAGGCAGCAGUAGGGAAUCUUCCGCAAUGGGCGAAAGCCUGACGGAGCAACGCCGCGUGAGUGAUGAAGGUCUUCGGAUCGUAAAACUCUGUUAUUAGGGAAGAACAUACGUGUAAGUAACUAUGCACGUCUGA
rnacentral:rRNA from 1 species